UAGGGAAUCUUCCACAAUGGACGAGAGUCUGAUGGAGCAACGCCGCGUGAGUGAAGAAGGGUUUCGGCUCGUAAAACUCUGUUGUUAAAGAAGAACAUAUCUGAGAGUAACUGUUCAGGUAUUGACGGUAUUUAACCAGAAAGCCACGGCUAACUACGUGCCGG
rnacentral:rRNA from 1 species